CCUCUGUGAACCGUUGACCUCCGGGUUAAUAAUCAAACAUCAGUGUAACGAACGUAAGAGUAUCUUAACGAAACAAAACUUUCAACAACGGAUCUCUUGGCUCUCGCAUCGAUGAAGAACGCAGCGAAAUGCGAUAAGUAAUGUGAAUUGCAGAAUUCAGUGAAUCAUCGAAUCUUUGAACGCACCUUGCGCCUUUUGGUAUUCCGAAAGGCAUGCCUGUUUCAGUGUCAUGAAAUCUCAAUCUAAUAUGUUUUCUGAACAUGUUAGGCUUGGACUUGGGCGUCUGCCAGUGAUGGCUCGCCUCAAAUGACUUAGUGGAACAUCCCACAUCAGUGUUAGACGUAAUAAGUUUCGUCUCUCCUUGUGGUGAUGACUGCUCAGAACCUGCCAUCGCGCAUCUUUUGACUUUGACCUGAAAUCAGGUAGGGCUACCCGCUGAACUUAAGCAUAUCAUAGCGGGGGAGG
rnacentral:misc_RNA from 1 species